AGACGAGUUUCCCUUCAAGUCAUGGAUGGCACAGUACAACAGAGUGUACAGUAUGAAGGAGUACUAUGAGAGACUCCAGAUAUUCACUGACAACAAGAGGAGGAUUGACAAGCACAAUGAAGGAAAUCACUCCUACACAAUGGGGCUGAACCA